rnacentral:rRNA from 1 species
GCAAGUCGAGCGAGCUUGCCUAGAUGAAUUUGGUGCUUGCACCAAAUGAAACUAGAUACAAGCGAGCGGCGGACGGGUGAGUAACACGUGGGUAACCUGCCCAAGAGACUGGGAUAACACCUGGAAACAGAUGCUAAUACCGGAUAACAACACUAGACGCAUGUCUAGAGUUUAAAAGAUGGUUCUGCUAUCACUCUUGGAUGGACCUGCGGUGCAUUAGCUAGUUGGUAAGGUAACGGCUUACCAAGGCAAUGAUGCAUAGCCGAGUUGAGAGACUGAUCGGCCACAUUGGGACUGAGACACGGCCCAAACUCCUACGGGAGGCAGCAGUAGGGAAUCUUCCACAAUGGACGCAAGUCUGAUGGAGCAACGCCGCGUGAGUGAAGAAGGGUUUCGGCUCGUAAAGCUCUGUUGGUAGUGAAGAAAGAUAGAGGUAGUAACUGGCCUUUAUUUGACGGUAAUUACUUAGAAAGUCACGGCUAACUACGUGCCAGCAGCCGCGGUAAUACGUAGGUGGCAAGCGUUGUCCGGAUUUAUUGGGCGUAAAGCGAGUGCAGGCGGUUCAAUAAGUCUGAUGUGAAAGCCUUCGGCUCAACCGGAGAAUUGCAUCAGAAACUGUUGAACUUGAGUGCAGAAGAGGAGAGUGGAACUCCAUGUGUAGCGGUGGAAUGCGUAGAUAUAUGGAAGAACACCAGUGGCGAAGGCGGCUCUCUGGUCUGCAACUGACGCUGAGGCUCGAAAGCAUGGGUAGCGAACAGGAUUAGAUACCCUGGUAGUCCAUGCCGUAAACGAUGAGUGCUAAGUGUUGGGAGGUUUCCGCCUCUCAGUGCUGCAGCUAACGCAUUAAGCACUCCGCCUGGGGAGUACGACCGCAAGGUUGAAACUCAAAGGAUUUGACGGGG